rnacentral:rRNA from 1 species
ACAUCCAGAGAACUUAGCAGAGAUGCUUUGGUGCCUUCGGGAACUCUGAGACAGGUGCUGCAUGGCUGUCGUCAGUUCGUGUUGUGAAAUGUUGGGUUAAGUCCCGCAACGAGCGCAACCCUUAUCCUUUGUUGCCAGCGGCUCGGCCGGGAACUCAAAGGAGACUGCCGGUGAUAAACCGGAGGAAGGUGGGGAUGACGUCAAGUCAUCAUGGCCCUUACGGCCAGGGCUACACACGUGCUACAAUGGCGCAUACAAAGAGAAGCGACCUCGCGAGAGCAAGCGGACCUCAUAAAGUGCGUCGUAGUCCGGAUUGGAGUCUGCAACUCGACUCCAUGAAGUCGGAAUCGCUAGUAAUCGUAGAUCAGAAUGCUACGGUGAAUACGUUCCCGGGCCUUGUACACACCGCCCGUCACACCAUGGGAGUGGGUUGCAAAAGAAGUAGGUAGCUUAACCUUCGGGAGGGCGCUUACCACUUUGUGAUUCAUGACUGGGGUGAAGUCGUAACAAGGUAAGCGUAGCGAG